rnacentral:rRNA from 1 species
AGCAGCCGCGGUAAUUCCAGCUCCAAUAGCGUAUAUUAAAGUUGUUGCAGUUAAAAAGCUCGUAGUUGAAUUUCGGGGUUAGUAGGUUGGUUAUGCCUCUGGUAUGUACUGGUCUCACUGAUUCCUCCUUCCUGAUGAGCCGUAAUGCCAUUAAUUUGGUGUUGCGGGGAAUUUGGACUGUUACUUUGAAAAAAUUAGAGUGUUUAAAGCAAGCUAACGCUUGAAUACAUUAGCAUGGAAUAAUGAAAUAGGACGUUCGAUCCUAUUUUGUUGGUUUCUAGGGAUUGACGUAAUGAUUAAUAGGGAUAGUUGGGGGGCAUUAGUAUUCAAUUGUCAGAGGUGAAAUUCUUGGAUUUAUUGAAGACUAACUACUGCGAAAGCAUUUGCCAAGGAUGUUUUCAUUAAUCAAGGAACGAAAGUUAGGGGAUCGAAGACGAUCAGAUACCGUCGUAGUCUUAACCAUAAACUAUGCCGACUAGGGAUCGGAUGAUGUUAAUUUUUUAAUGACUCAUUCGGCGCC